rnacentral:rRNA from 1 species
GACAGAGGGUGCGAACGUUGUUCGGAAUUACUGGGCGUAAAGCGCGUGUAGGCGGCUCGAUAAGUCGGAUGUGAGAGCCCUGGGCUCAACCUAGGAAGUGCAUUCGAAACUGCUGAGCUUGAGUUCUGGAGAGGAAGGCGGAAUUCUCGGUGUAGAGGUGAAAUUCGUAGAUAUCGAGAGGAACACCGGUGGCGAAGGCGGCCUUCUGGACAGCAACUGACGCUGAGACGCGAAAGCGUGGGGAGCAAACAGG